rnacentral:rRNA from 1 species
AUUGAACGCUGGCGGCAGGCCUAACACAUGCAAGUCGAGCGGAUGAAGAGAGCUUGCUCUCUGAUUUAGCGGCGGACGGGUGAGUAAUGCCUAGGAAUCUGCCUGGUAGUGGGGGAUAACGUUCCGAAAGGAACGCUAAUACCGCAUACGUCCUACGGGAGAAAGCAGGGGACCUUCGGGCCUUGCGCUAUCAGAUGAGCCUAGGUCGGAUUAGCUAGUUGGUGGGGUAAUGGCUCACCAAGGCGACGAUCCGUAACUGGUCUGGGAGGAUGAUCAGUCACACUGGAACUGAGACACGGUCCAGACUCCUACGGGAGGCAGCAGUGGGGAAUAUUGGACAAUGGGCGAAAGCCUGAUCCAGCCAUGCCGCGUGUGUGAAGAAGGUCUUCGGAUUGUAAAGCACUUUAAGUUGGGAGGAAGGGUUGUAGAUUAAUACUCUGCAAUUUUGACGUUACCAACAGAAUAAGCACUGGCUAACUUCGUGCCAGCCGCCGCCGUAAGAC